rnacentral:rRNA from 1 species
UACGUAGGGGGCAAGCGUUGUCCGGAUUUAUUGGGCGUAAAGAGCGUGUAGGCGGCCAGAUAGGUCCGUUGUGAAAACUCGAGGCUCAACCUCGAGACGCCGAUGGAAACCAUUUGGCUAGAGUCCGGAAGAGGAGAGUGGAAUUCCUGGUGUAGCGGUGAAAUGCGCAGAUAUCAGGAAGAACACCCGUGGCUAAGGCGGCUCUCUAGUACGGUACUGACGCUAAGACGCGAAAGCGUGGGGAGCAAACAGG